rnacentral:rRNA from 1 species
GACGAACGCUGGCGGCGUGCUUAACACAUGCAAGUCGAACGAAGAGCGAUGGAAGCUUGCUUCUAUCAAUCUUAGUGGCGAACGGGUGAGUAACGCGUAAUCAACCUGCCCUUCAGAGGGGGACAACAGUUGGAAACGACUGCUAAUACCGCAUACGAUCUAAUCUCGGCAUCGAGGAUAGAUGAAAGGUGGCCUCUACAUGUAAGCUAUCACUGAAGGAGGGGAUUGCGUCUGAUUAGCUAGUUGGAGGGGUAACGGCCCACCAAGGCGAUGAUCAGUAGCCGGUCUGAGAGGAUGAACGGCCACAGUGGGACUGAGACACGGCCCAGACUCCUACGGGAGGCAGCAGUGGGGAAUCUUCCGCAAUGGACGAAAGUCUGACGGAGCAACGCCGCGUGAGUGAUGACGGCCGUCGGGUUGUAAAGCUCUGUUAAUCGGGACGAAAGGCCUUCUUGCGAAUAGUGAGAAGGAUUGACGGUACCGGAAGAGAAAGCCACGGCUAACUACGUG